CAGGAUACACCCUGGACGGGACACCAGUCCAUCGCAGGGCACACGUAGACACAAACACCCACGCCAGAGCCACUUAACCUGUCGGUAUGUUUUUGGACUGCGGGGGGGGAUGGACCACUCGGAAGAAACCCACACGAACACGGGGAGAACGUAUGUUUAUAUAAACCCCAGAAAGACAGCAGCCCACUUCUGGAGCUGAACCCAGCCCCCCGGCGCUGCGAGGCAGCAGUGCUAACCGCUGAGACAUCGUGCCGCCUUCAAAGUUAUCGUGGUAAAACGUAAUCAGCGUGAGACCGUCCGUGUUGAAAACAGGGUGAAGCGAAGAAACGUGCGUUAAAACCACGGUACAAGCAUGGGAAAACAGUAAAAAGUCCAAACACGUGUGGUGAUUCAGUACCAUGACUGUCCUCGUUCCAAUGGAUUUGCCUUUGUUGCCACGUUGGUAAAUCGGCUCAGAGCAUUUCGGGAGUCCCAGAAAUAUCGCUCAGGUGAGCCGGGAGCCGCUAACCCGCCGGGACGCACCCCUGCUCCCACAGUUGCCAAGACUGGGAUUUGUGAGGAGACGGCGCUCCAGAGUACCGAAACCCCAAGGACUACCUCCCAAGUGCAUUAGCACCGAAGAGCGUUAUCGGCAUGCUCGACGACUCACAAUGUUGCCGAAGUAAUAAUAAAAAGAAAGUAGCAGUACAGCGUUUAGCGCAACAACGUUACGUCUGAGAGUCUCGGUCUCCGUCCCUCGGGCUGUGACGGGAGAUACUAUCAGUCUCCGUCUACGGCCGGGAAGAAAACGGGCUGGUUUCGAAACCCCAUAGGUCUGCAGUAGAAAACAGUACAAUAUAAACCCUCCUCUCCUGUGUUAAGGCACUCCCCUCAGCCAGGUAGGCCAAGCCGAGUCACAAGCUCCACCCGCAGAGGCAGAGCGGCGGAGGAAGAGGAACCGGACUGAUCAGCGUGUUCACACUCAGUCCGAUUCGGGCUCUUUUGCAGAUCCCGACCGAAUCCGAAGUUGUGGGUUUUCCCGGUUGGGUUUGUGCCGAAGCGAGGCAGUGAAGAUGGCUGAAGCAGAGCUCCAGGCUGCGGUCGCCGGACACAGCUCUCCCCGAGAUUAAAACGAGCUUCUAUCCAAAUGAAAAGCCCGGGAUCGUCCGCAUUCUACAUGCACCGUGUGUGAGAAGCUCGAACCCGAGACG